rnacentral:tRNA from 1 species
GCUAAUUAAGUUUUAAAAUAUUGGUUUUGUAAACCAAAGAAUUAAAUUAGUA